CAUACUGCUGUCAUUUCUAAACCACUCGUCCUACAGCUGUUAAAAGUAUUCCAGUGACAGCAUUUGGUGAGAAGUUUCCAGAAAAAAAGUUAUUCGUGAUGGAAUUCAAGCGUGAUUUCUUUAUAUUUGGCUGGAAAGCCAGAAGUGGCUAUCGUUAGAGCACUCCAGCAUUUAAGUGUGAAUAAAUCUUUUCUGAAAUUUUUCAUCUUUGGUUCGCCACCAGAACUCAAGCGCCGGCCAUGGUGAUGGUGUGGGCCGUCAUAACAGCCGAUGAUCGCUCUCCGACCCUGGCAUCAGAAUAAAUGCCGAAUAUUAUCGCGAAAAUAUUCUGGAGAGCGUAUUAAAGCCUUGGGCACGCAAACAUUUUGACCGCAGACUCUGGACAUUCCAACAGGACUCAGCACGCGCCACCCACGAAUGCUUACAAAAUUAGGUUCCUUGCUUCAUUCACCAAAUCUCCGGAUACCAAUCCGUUGGACUGUUGUGUCUGGAGUAUUUUGGAAAGCAGGGUUGGCACUAAAAAAUACCAAAGUGUCGAUCACCUCAAGCAAGCGCUUCGCCUGGAAUGGGCCAAAAUACCGCAGAACAACAUUCGGGCAGCGUGUGACGGUUUUAUUGGCCGUUUAAAGGUCAUAAUUCGUGCCAAAGGUGGCCAAUUCGAACAAAUCUAAACUUAUUCUAAAAUUUGAUGCAAUUUCCGACAUUUUUGCUUUCAUUCAAUAAAAUUUAAAAAAGU